rnacentral:piRNA from 1 species
GGUACGUGGGACAAAAAGCCGAGC